CUCAUGCUUUUCUCAUUUGUGCCUUUAUUAGAACAUGGCUGUCCUGGCGCUCCUCCUCUGCCUGGUGACCUUUCCAAGCUGUGUCCUGUCCCAGGUGCAGAUGAAGGAGACAGGACCUGGCCUGGUGCAAACAACACAGACCCUAUCUGUGACGUGCACUGUCUCUGGGUUCUCAUUAACCAGCUAUGGUGUACACUGGGUUCGCCAGGCUCCGGGAAAGGGUCUGGAGUGGAUGGGAAUAAUAUGGGGUGAUGGAAGCACAAAUUAUAAUUCUGCUCUCAAAUCUCGACUGAGCAUCAGCAGGGAUACCUCCAAAAGCCAAGUUUUCUUAACAAUGAACAGUCUGCAAACUGAUGACACAGCCGUGUACUACUGUGCAGAAACACAGUGA